rnacentral:rRNA from 1 species
UGGCGACCGGCGCACGGGUGCGUAACGCGUAUGCAACUUGCCUCACAGAGGGGGAUAACCCGUCGAAAGACGGACUAAUACCGCGUACACUUAUCGGAGGGCAUCCUUUGGUAAGGAAAUGAAAUUCGCUGUGAGAUAGGCAUGCGUCCCAUUAGCUAGUUGGUGAGGUAACGGCUCACCAAGGCGACGAUGGGUAGGGGAACUGAGAGGUUGAACCCCCACACUGGUACUGAGACACGGACCAGACUCC